AACGAACGCUGGCGGCAUGCCUAACACAUGCAAGUCGAACGAGACCUUCGGGUCUAGUGGCGCACGGGUGCGUAACGCGUGGGAACCUGCCCUUAGGUUCGGAAUAACUCCCCGAAAGGGGUGCUAAUACCGGAUAAUGUCUUCGGACCAAAGAUUUAUCGCCUUUGGUUGGGCUCGCGUUGGAUUAGCUUGUUGGUAGGGUAAAAGCCUACCAAGGCGACGAUCCAUAGCUGGUCUGUGAGGAUGAUCAGCCACACUGGGACUAAGACACGGCCCAGACUCUUGCGGGAGGCGGGAAGGGGGAAUAUUGGACAGGGGGCGGAGGCAUGAACCAUCAAUGCCGGGUGAGUGAUGAAGGCAUUGGGGUUGUAAAGCGCUUUUACCCGGGAUGAUAAUGACGGUACCGGAAGAAUAAGCUCCGGCUAACUCCGUG
rnacentral:rRNA from 1 species